GAUGAAGAACGUAGCGAAAUGCGAUAAGUAAUGUGAAUUGCAGAAUUCAGUGAAUCAUCGAAUCUUUGAACGCACAUUGCGCUCGCCAGUAUUCUGGCGAGCAUGCCUGUUCGAGCGUCAUUUCAACCAUCAAGCUCUGCUUGCGUUGGGGAUCCGCGUCUGACGCGGUCCCUCAAAAACAGUUGGUGGGCUCGCUAGUCACACCGAGCGUAGUAACUCUACAUCGCUAUGGUCGUGCGGCGGGUUCUUGCCGUAAAACCCCCAAUUUUUUAAGGUUGACCUCGGAUCAGGUAGGAAUACCCGCUGAACUUAAGCAUAUCAAUAAGCGGAGGA
rnacentral:misc_RNA from 1 species